GUAACAUCUCGCUUUAUAUAUGUACUUAUGUAUCGGAUAUGUAACAUCUGUCCCUAUGCUAAUAAAAAAAAAAAAAAGAAAGACUUUCCAUAUU